rnacentral:rRNA from 1 species
UACGAAGGGGGCUAGCGUUGCUCGGAAUCACUGGGCGUAAAGCGCACGUAGGCGGAUCUUUAAGUCAGGGGUGAAAUCCUGGAGCUCAACUCCAGAACUGCCUUUGAUACUGGGGAUCUCGAGUCCGGGAGAGGUGAGUGGAAUUCCGAGUGUAGAGGUGAAAUUCGUAGAUAUUCGGAGGAACACCAGAAGCGAAGGCGGCUCACUGGCCCGAUACUGACGCUGAGGCGCGAAAGCGUGGGGAGCAAACAGG